GGAUGCGAUCAUACAGCACUAACGCACCGGAAUCCUUCAGAACUCCGAGUAAGCGUGCUUGGGCGAGAGUAGUACUAGGAUGGGUGACCCCCUGGAAAGUCCUCGUGUUGCAUCCC
rfam:Nicotiana attenuata strain TT scaffold05420, whole genome shotgun sequence.